GGGGCUGUGGCUCUGUGGUAGAGCGUCAGCUUGGCACUUGGGAGGUCCCCAGGUUCAAUCCCUGGCAUCUCCA
rnacentral:tRNA from 1 species